rnacentral:rRNA from 1 species
UACGUAGGGUGCAAGCGUUAAUCGGAAUACUGGGCGUAAAGCGUGCGCAGGCGGUGAUGUAAGACAGAUGUGAAAUCCCCGGGCUCAACCUGGGAACUGCAUUUGUGACUGCAUCGCUAGAGUACGGCAGAGGGGGAUGGAAUUCCGCGUGUAGCAGUGAAAUGCGUAGAUAUGCGGAGGAACACCGAUGGCGAAGGCAAUCCCCUGGGCCUGCACUGACGCUCAUGCACGAAAGCGUGGGGAGCAAACAGG